GGUUUUGUGCAGUGACAUUGUCGUACCCAAUGAGGUUUAUCCAAGGUGCAAGUAUUGCUAAUUGAAAAAAAUAAUAUCCUUUACCAAAGGUACACAUUUUUUAAUGUAAUUUUAUUG
rnacentral:snRNA from 1 species